CACAGGACGCUAGUUGUGAACAAGGUGUGGAAGAGCCUAUUCAGCUACAUGAGAGUCCUCCGGCCCCUGAAUGCGGCUAAUCCUAACCACGGAGCAGGCGAUCGCAAACCAGCAAUUAGCCUGUCGUAACGCGAAAGUCUGUGGCGGAACCGACUACUUUGGGUGACCGUGUUUCUCUUAUUUUUAUUCAUGGCUGCUUAUGGUGACAAUCAUAGAUUGUUAUCAUAAAGCGAGUUGGAUUGGCCAUCCGGUA
rnacentral:other from 17 species